UUUUUCAGAGUAGCCGCCAUGUUGGUCUGUAUUCGCGGGGAGAGGGGGAGUGCUUGUGGUGCCUUGGAGACUAGCAGAUUUGUUAGAGCAUAGGCUUUCGUUGACUACAGCUCACUUCAUCGGAUGCAUUUGGUGGAAAAAACAGAGGGGAGA